rnacentral:rRNA from 1 species
GACGAACGCUGGCGGCGUGCUUAACACAUGCGAGUCGAACGGGAUUUAGUAGACAGAAGCCUCGGCUAAAGAUUACUAAUGAGAGUGGCGAACGGGUGAGUAACGCGUGAGCAACCUGCCUAUGACAGUGGGAUAGCCUCGGGAAACCGGGAUUAAUACCGCAUAAAAUCGUAGAAACACAUGUUUUAACGGUCAAAGAUUUAUCGGUCAUAGAUGGGCUCGCGUCUGAUUAGCUAGUUGGUGAGAUAACAGCCCACCAAGGCGACGAUCAGUAGCCGGUCUGUGAGGAUGAACGGCCACAUUGGAACUGAGACACGGUCCAAACUCCUACGGGAGGCAGCAGUGGGGAAUAUUGCACAAUGGGGGAAACCCUGAUGCAGCGACGCCGCGUGAACGAAGAAGGUAUUCGUAUCGUAAAGUUCUGUCCUAUGGGAAGAUAAUGACAGUACCAUAGAAGAAAGCUCCGGCUAAAUACGUG